rnacentral:rRNA from 1 species
GAUGAACGCUGGCGGUAUGCUUAACACAUGCAAGUCGAGCGGACUCUUCGGAGUUAGUGGCGGACGGGUGAGUAACGCGUGAGAAUCUGGCUUUGGGUUCGGGACAACCACUGGAAACGGUGGCUAAUACCGGAUGUGCCGAGAGGUAAAAGAGAAAUUGCCUGAAGAUGAGCUCGCGUCUGAUUAGCUAGUUGGUGAGGUAAAGGCUCACCAAGGCAGCGAUCAGUAGCUGGUCUGAGAGGAUGACCAGCCACACUGGGACUGAGACACGGCCCAGACUCCUACGGGAGGCGGCAGUGGGGAAUUUUCCGCAAUGGGCGAAAGCCUGACGGAGCAAUACCGCGUGAGGGAAGAAGGCUCUUGGGUUGUAAACCUCUUUUCUUAGGGAAGAACAAAAUGACGGUACCUAAGGAAUCAGCAUCGGCUAACUCCGUG